CGACCGUUGUGAUGAUAAUGGCUUGUUGUCUUUACCCUGAAACAAAUCAUGUGGGUUUUCAGUCACUACCUCAUCUGAACAGUCG
ensembl:snoRNA SNORD11B small nucleolar RNA, C/D box 11B